UACGUAGGUGGCAAGCGUUGUCCGGAUUUACUGGGCGUAAAGGGCGUGCAGGCGGUCUGUUAAGUGCAGGGUGAAAGCUCCCGGCUCAACUGGGAGAGGUCCUUGCAUACUGGCGGACUUGAGGGGGGUAGAGGAAAGUGGAAUUUCGUGUGUAGGGGUGAAAUCCGUAAAUAUACGAAGGAACGCCAAAAGCGAAGGCAGCUCUCUGGGUCCCUACCGACGCUGGGGUGCGAAAGCAUGGGGAGCGAACAGG
rnacentral:rRNA from 1 species